rnacentral:lncRNA from 1 species
UGGGGACUGCAAAGAACCAAGGCAAAUGGAGAGAAGGAAGUGGUACAUAAAGCAAGACGUGGCAGAAUAUCUCUGUGCACUCACUCAGUGCCAUGGGUUUUUAAACUCAAGAUUCUGACAUAUGAAGCAGUUUCUCCCAGAAAAUUCCCAAAACAAAGAUCAUCUCUGAGAUUUUUGCCAGUAAGACCACUGCUGAAACAUGAGAAAAGUAUUUCUAUGUCCUCAGCCAUAAGUGACCCUGGAUACUAGAAGACAUUUAACUACAACAUCCCCUGUCUUUAUAUAGUAGUUGAAAAGAUUUGCUCUCCUGGUUUCAUUGAUGAAAGAAAGGUGCCACAUGUGAGACACACAUUUUACCAAUACUUUGUUAUACAGAUCAUUGGCCAUUUAAUUUCUUGUACAAAUUGACAGAACAUUUGUGGCACAUCAGCCUUUCUCAUAGCAGAAACUCAUGAACAGCUUCUCUUUCGCUUUCAGUUACCUGAGA